rnacentral:lncRNA from 1 species
GAGUUGAAAAUAAAGGAGGACCCAUGCCACUAGAACAACUUUUGGAGAGAAGUAUUGAGUAAGAUGGAGUGAGAUGUGGCAGGCUGAGGGGACUCAUGGUUUCUCAAAACUAUAAGGAGGCAUCUUAACUUCUUGAUCUUCAUGGGAAACUCUACCAAGAACCUUACACUAUAUAAUGGUGGUGGUGGUUCACAGAACAAGGGUGAAGAAUGUUAAACUUAUUAUCUUGGGUAACUUUGAGCCUUAAGAUGCCCCCUUGUUUUGCCCAAAUUCUUAUUUCAUUUAUUUAUUUAUUUUGGUUUUUCGAGACAGGGUGUCUCUGUGUAGCCCUGGCUGUCCUGGAACACACUCUGUAGACCAGGCUCGCCUCGAAAUCAGAAAUCUGCCUGCCUCUGCCUCCCGAGUGCUGGGGAUUAAAGGCGUGCACCACCACUGCCUGGCCCAGAUUCUUGAAUAAGAGAGGAUCUUGGUUUAAGUUUAUUACUGUUCUCCUCUGGUGCUUCACAGCAAGUUUUGUUUAAAGGACCAGUCUAUUAUCCCAUUUAGAUAACUCAGGAUUUAUGGUCCAGGAUCAGGUAUACAAACACUACUUUCAUUGAGAAAAAUGAUUGACUUGAGACACACAAAUGUCUUCAAAAGUGCUACCAUACUAAGUAGAUUAUAAUUUGACAGAGGGAUUUUUCUCUUCUGAUUAGCUUUUAUGACCUCAUAGAUGCAAAUAUGCAAUUCCUAUAAAACUUUCAAAAUCUUAUUUCAGUUUCUCUUUUGUUUUCAACACCUUCUUUUACACAGGAGGAAUUGGGAACAGAGAAGGAUGGUAUGAUGCUCCAGUAUUAGUCUGAAGGCUUCCCACAAGUGUGAGCUUGUCUUCCCUGGAGUUCUUCCAUACAUCACUAUUUUGAAAACUAUUGAGGCUGAGGCGUCAUCAGAUAGCCUAAGCCUAAGCUGGCUAAGUGGAUUCAUUGAUUCUUGGGCUUGUUUUAUUCCAGUGUUGCCUCAAUUAACUUGAGAUUUACUAACUGAUACAUGGAGUACCCCCACAUUUGCAUUGCAUUUGCAUUCUUUGUUGUAUGAGAAUGUUUUAUAGAGUACUCAUUGCAGAGAAUGACCAGAAAACUUCAGAGCAGAAAAGACUCUUGCUAUAAAAUAUGUAAGUAAGAAAAUGGACCAUUUGUACAUCAUGCGUUUUGGACUUGCCAGAAACACUUGCAGGCAUUCUAGUUCUUCCGUAGAAAAGCAAUGUCAGUGUAUUGUGGUACCUGGCAUGUCUACUGAAUGUUGGUUGGGCUCUGUGAACCAUUUCUAUCCUUCUACACCUACUGUUGUCUCUUUAUCUCUAUCGGAAUUGCAGAAAUUUUUAAUUCCUAAGAGUUUUCUUGGAGCAUUUAAUUUGAAAUGUUCACUUCCAUUAUCAACCAGCCAUAGUGCAGAGUUCAACUUGUGGCUGCACCCCUUUUUUUCUACUGGGAAGGAAUCUCUAGAUAUCUCAUUUCGGACCCUGUCUACCUGGCACCAUGUCUGCUGAUGUGCAAUGUUCAGUGCACACUGAAAGAUAAGCAAAUAGUGUGGUUAUGCUUAUUAGUGAGAAGCUUAAGCUUUUCCAUAAGCUGCUGCUUGUCUUUAGCUCCUUGUUUGAGCUAAGGCAAUGUCUCUGGGUGCUUCUGUUCCUAUGAAGCUUAAAAUAGUGAUCCAGCUGUGAAUCGAGGCAUGCGUGUAUAUGUGCACAUGUGUGGAGGCUAGAGAUCAACCUAGUGUUGAUCUCAGGAGUCACUCAUCUUGCUGGAGAAAAGGCUUUCUCUGUCUCUCUCAGGCCUGCAUUUUGAUGAGUAUCUUUAGGUAUCUGGUCAGCUAUCUCCCCAUUCCAGCUAUUCCUUUGUCUGGCUUUUAUGUAUAAGUUCUGGGACUAAAGCUUGGUGUCUUAUGCUUGUUUGGCAAGUACUUUACUAACUGGGCUCUCUCUCUAGCCAUGAAUUGAGGACCUUUAAAAAAAUGGAUGUAGUCUUUUAUAUUUUUGAGUGUAUAGAAAGUGAAACACACUUGUAAUAAUAUAAUUAAGAAAAAGAUAGGAGGUAGGAAAAAAAGUGCCUUAAAGGAGAAUGUAGAAGACACAUUAAAAACUAUUUUCAUGAAGAGCAAAAAUGUGAGAACUUCUUAGUAUAUAAGUAUAAGUGGAACUAGUAUCCAGAAUCUUUAUAUAGAAAGAACUGUUUCACAAAACAUUAAUUUAUUUCUGCCUUCUAAAAGCUAGAGAAUAACAUUCAAUCUGCAUCCUCUCAAAGUGCAUUGAAGAAUUAUUUUAGCUAAUAAAAUUAGCAUUUACUACUUUUCCAUUGUUAUUUCUCUGACAUCAAUAAGUGGUUUAAUGUACAUGUAGAAAGACAUUAUAUUUCAAAACAUUGCUUUGAGUUGGUUAGAAUCUGCCAAGAGCUCCCAUCUUUGAGCCCAAACUGGGUCAGUGUGUUACCUGUGACAGUAUUUCCACAGCUGGGAUGUGUAGUAGUUUGAAUGGGGAUGUCCCACAUAGGUUCCGACGUUUGAACAUUUGGUCCCCAGUUGGUGAUCCUAUUUGGGAAGAUUUAAGAGAGUCCUUGUUUGAGGAAGUGUGUCACUGGAAGCAAGAUUUUAGAGAAAAACAAAACAAAAC